rnacentral:rRNA from 1 species
GUUCCUUGGAAAAGGACAGCUGAGAGGGUGAGACUCCCGUCCGCCUGGUAGAAUGAGUCUUUGUCAACGAGUCGAGUUGUUUGGGAUUGCAGCUCUAAUUUGGUGGUAAAUUCCAUCUAAAGCUAAAUAUUGGUGGGAGGCCGAUAGCGUACAAGUACCGUGAGGGAAAGAUGCAAAGAACUUUGAAAAGAGAGUUAAAGAGUACCUGAAAUUGCUGAAACGGAAGCGAAGGAAACCAGUGUUUGUUGGUUCAUAUUUCCCUGGCCACUUGUGGUUUGGGCGCUGUGAGCUUGCGUGGGUUUGCUUUGGUUGAUCCCUUUGGAAGAGCGCAGUCAGAGUUGAUGUCU